rnacentral:rRNA from 1 species
UACAGAGGGUGCGAACGUUGCUCGGAAUUACUGGGCGUAAAGCGCAUGUAGGCGGAUCCAUAAGUCGGGCGUGAAAUCCCCCAGGCUCAACCUGGGAACUGCGCUCGAAACUGUGGGUCUUGAGUGUUGGAGAGGAUGGCGGAAUUCCUGGUGUAGAGGUGAAAAUUCGUAGAUAUCAGGAGGAACACCGGUGGCGAAGGCGGCCAUCUGGACAACAACUGACGCUGAGAGUGCGAAAAAGCGUGGGGGAGCAAACAGGG